UACGGAGGGUGCGAGCGUUGUCCGGAAUCACUGGGCGUAAAGGGCGCGUAGGCGGCUCAUGAAGGCUGUGGUGAAAGUCCGGGGCUCAACCUCGGAUCGGCCGUGGCGACUCGUGGGCUGGAGCACUGUAGAGGCGGGUGGAAUUCCGGGUGUAGCGGUGAAAUGCGCAGAUAUCGGGAAGAACACCCGUGGCGAAGGCGGCACUCUGGGACGGUACUGACGCUGAGACGCGAAAGCGUGGGGAGCGAACAGG
rnacentral:rRNA from 1 species